GGACGAACGCUGGCGGCGUGCUUAACACAUGCAAGUCGAACGAGGCCCAAGCGUCAGCAAUGACGUGGAAGGCCUAGUGGCGAACGGGUGAGUAACACGUGAGGAACCUACCCCGGACUCAGGGAUAACAGACGGAAACAUCUGCUAAUACCUGAUGCCGUCGGAGCAUCACAUGGUGCACUGACGAAAGAAUCUCGGUUCGGGAGGGCCUCGCGGCCUAUCAGCUAGUUGGUGGGGUAACGGCCUACCAAGGCAUCGACGGGUAGCUGGUCUGAGAGGAUGAUCAGCCACACUGGGACUGAGACACGGCCCAGACUCCUAUGGGAGGCAGCAGUGGGGAAUCUUGCGCAAUGGGCGAAAGCCUGACGCAGCAACGCCGCGUGCGGGAAGAAGGCCUUAGGGUUGUAAACCGCUUUCAGUAGGAACGAAAAUGACGGUACCUGCAGAAGAAGGUGCGGCCAACUACGUGCCAGCAGCCGCGGUGACACGUAGGCACCAAGCGUUGUCCGGAUUUAUUGGGCGUAAAGAGCUCGUAGGCGGUUCAGUAAGUCGGGUGUGAAAACUCUGGGCUUAACCCAGAGCCGCCACUCGAUACUGCUGUGACUUGAGUUCGGUAGGGGAGCAGGGAAUUCCUAGUGUAGCGGUGAAAUGCGCAGAUAUUAGGAGGAACACCGGUGGCGAAGGCGCUGCUCUGGGCCGAUACUGACGCUGAGGAGCGAAAGCGUGGGUAGCAAACAGGAUUAGAUACCCUGGUAGUCCACGCCGUAAACGUUGGGCACUAGGUGUGGGUUCCAACCAACGGAAUCCGCGCCGUCGCUAACGCAUUAAGUGCCCCGCCUGGGGAGUACGGCGGCAACGCUAAAAC
rnacentral:rRNA from 1 species